rnacentral:rRNA from 1 species
CAGUAGCCACGGUAAUACGUAGGUGGCAAGCGUUGUCCGGAAUUAUUGGGCGUAAAGGGCUCGCAGGCGGUUUCUUAAGUCUGAUGUGAAAUCCCCCGGCUUAACCGGGGAAGUGGCCCCGAUACGACCAGCCUGGAGGGGUGUAGGGGGAGCCGGAACUUCCGGUGGAGCGGGGAAAUGCGUUGAGAUCGGAAGGAACGCCCGUGGCGAAAGCGGGCUCCUGGACACCACCUGACGCUGAGACGCGAAAGCCAGGGGAGCGAACGGGAUUAGAUACCCGCGUAGUCCCUGUCUCUUAUAC